rnacentral:sRNA from 1 species
GCCUAGCCCCGAUAGAAGUGAAAAUCCUUUUAUGUCCUGCCUCGGCGGACAUAAAAGAUUGUAACGGAUAGCGGGAAAUAGC